UACGUAGGGGGCAAGCGUUGUCCGGAAUCAUUGGGCGUAAAGAGCGCGUAGGCGGUCCAGUAAGUCCGCUCUGAAAGUCCGGGGCUCAACCUCGGAUCGGCCGUGGCGACUCGUGGGCUGGAGCACUGUAGAGGCGGGUGGAAUUCCGGGUGUAGCGGUGGAAUGCGUAGAGAUCCGGAAGAACACCAGUGGCGAAGGCGGCCCGCUGGGCAGUGGCUGACGCUGAGGCGCGACAGCGUGGGGAGCAAACAGG
rnacentral:rRNA from 1 species